GAUGAACGCUGCCAGAAUGCUUAACACAUGCAAGUCAACUUGAAUUUGGGUUUUUAACUUAGGUUUGGGUGGCGGACGGGUGAGUAACGCGUAAAGAACUUGCCUCACAGCUAGGGACAACAUUUGUAAACGAAUGCUAAUACCUAAUAUUAUGAUAAUAGGGCAUCCUAUAAUUAUGAAAGCUAUAAGCGCUGUGAGAGAGCUUUGCGUCCCAUUAGCUAGUUGGAGAGGUAACGGCUCACCAAGGCGAUGAUGGGUAGCCGGUCUGAGAGGGUGAUCGGCCACAAGGGGACUGAGACACGGCCCUUACUCCUACGGGAGGCAGCAGUGGGGAAUAUGGGACAAUGGAUCGAGAGUCUGAUACAGCAAUUCUGUGUGCACGAUGAAGUUUUUCGGAAUGUAAAGUGCUUUCAGUUGGGAAGAAACAAAUGACGGUACCAACAGAAGAAGUGACGGCUAAAUACGUG
rnacentral:rRNA from 1 species